AAGAGACAGCAGUAGCCGCGGGAAUACGUAGGGUGCAAGCGUUAAUCGGAAUUACUGGGCGUAAAGCGUGCGCAGGCGGUUAUAUAAGACAGAUGUGAAAUCCCCGGGCUCAACCUGGGAACUGCAUUUGUGACUGUAUAGCUAGAGUACGGCAGAGGGGGAUGGAAUUCCGCGUGUAGCAGUGAAAUGCGUAGAUAUGCGGAGGAACACCGAUGGCGAAGGCAAUCCCCUGGGCCUGUACUGACGCUCAUGCACGAAAGCGUGGGGAGCAAACAGGAUUAGAUACCCCUGUAGUCCCUGUCUCUUAUAC
rnacentral:rRNA from 1 species